AGAGUUUGAUCCUGGCUCAGGAUGAACGCUGGCGGCGUGCCUAACCCAUGUAAGUCGAGCGAUUCUUAGCAAUAAGAAGAGCGGCGGAAGGGUGAGUAACACGUAGGAGACCUACCUCAUCGCAGGGAACAACUUCGCGAAAGCGGAGCUAAUACCCAAGAAGCUCGUGCAUUCGGUUGUACGAGAAGAGUUUGUAAGAGCGUGAUGAGAGGGUCCUGCGGCCCAUCAGCUAGUUGGUAGGGUAGUGGCCUACCAAGGCAACGACGGGUAGGGGGUCUGAGAGGACGAUCCCCCACACUGGAACUGAAACACGGUCCAGACGCCUACGGGUGGCAGCAGGGAGGAAUAUUGGGCAAUGGACGAAAGUCUGACCCAGCAACGCCGGUAAGGAUGAAGGCCCUCGGGUUGUAAACUUCUUUU
rnacentral:rRNA from 1 species